CCUACGGGCGGCAGCAGUGGGGAAUAUUGCACAAUGGGGGAAACCCUGAUGCAGCGACGCCGCGUGAGCGAAGAAGUAUUUCGGUAUGUAAAGCUCUAUCAGCAGGGAAGAAAAUGACGGUACCUGAGUAAGAAGCUCCGGCUAAAUACGUGCCAGCAGCCGCGGUAAUACGUAGGGCGCAAGCGUUAUCCGGAUUUACUGGGUGUAAAGGGAUCGUAGGCGGCUUUGCAAGCCUGAUGUGAAAGACCGGGGCUCAACCACGGGACUGCAUGGGAAACUGUGAGGCUGGAGUGUCGGAGAGGCAGGCGGAAUUCCUAGUGUAGCGGUGAAAUGCGUAGAUAUUAGGAGGAACACCAGUGGCGAAGGCGGCCUGCUGGACGAUGACUGACGCGGAGGCUCGAAAGCGUGGGGAGCAAACAGGAUUAGAUACCCCUGUAGUC
rnacentral:rRNA from 1 species